GAAUAUUGCACAAUGGGCGAAAGCCUGAUGCAGCAACGCCGCGUGCGCGAAGAAGGCCUUCGGGUUGUAAAGCUCUUUUGUCCGGAAAGAAAAGCUUUCGGUUAAUACCCGGAAGUCCUGAUGGUACCGGAAGAAUAAGCACCGGCUAACUUCGUGCCAGCAGCCGCGGUAAUACGAAGGGUGCAAGCGUUACUCGGAAUUACUGGGCGUAAAGCGUGCGUAGGUGGUUCGGUAAGUCUGAUGUGAAAGCCCUGGGCUCAACCUGGGAAUUGCAUUGGAUACUGGCGGGCUGGAGUGCGGUAGAGGAUGGCGGAAUUCCCGGUGUAGCAGUGAAAUGCGUAGAUAUCGGGAGGAACAUCCGUGGCGAAGGCGACUACCUGGACCAGCACUGACACUGAGGCACGAAAGCGUGGGGAGCAAACAG
rnacentral:rRNA from 1 species